GAUGAACGCUGGCGGCGUGCCUAAUACAUGCAAGUCGAGCGAACGGACGAGAAGCUUGCUUCUCUGAUGUUAGCGGCGGACGGGUGAGUAACACGUGGAUAACCUACCUAUAAGACUGGGAUAACUUCGGGAAACCGGAGCUAAUACCGGAUAAUAUUUUGAACCGCAUGGUUCAAAAGUGAAAGACGGUCUUGCUGUCACUUAUAGAUGGAUCCGCGCUGCAUUAGCUAGUUGGUAAGGUAACGGCUUACCAAGGCAACGAUGCAUAGCCGACCUGAGAGGGUGAUCGGCCACACUGGAACUGAGACACGGUCCAGACUCCUACGGGAGGCAUCAGUAGGGAAUCUUCCGCAAUGGGCGAAAGCCUGACGGAGCAACGCCGCGUGAGUGAUGAAGGUCUUCGGAUCGUAAAACUCUGUUAUUAGGGAAGAACAUAUGUGUAAGUAACUGUGCACAUCUUGACGGUACCUGAUCAGAAAGCCACGGCUAACUACGUG
rnacentral:rRNA from 1 species